rnacentral:SRP_RNA from 1 species
GCCGGGCAUGGUGGUGUGGGCCUGUAGUCCCUACUACUUGGGAGGCUGAGGCUGGAGGAUCGCUUGAGCCCAGGAGUUCUGGGGUAUAGAGCGCUGUGUGAUUGGGUGUCCGCAUAAGUUCGGCAUCAAUAUGGUGACCUCCUGGGAGCCGGGAGCCACCAGGUUGCCUAAAGGAGGUGUGAACCAACCCAGAUCGGAAACAGAGCAAGUCAAAACUAUUGUGCUCAUCAGACUAUAGGACUAUAGUUUUCUUGUGUAUCAAUAUCUGUAUUCCUCAUCAGACACACACAGCACACACAUUUU